GCCAUACAUGCCACCCAUGCAAAAUUACUCAGUAGCAAAUAUCUGCAGACAAACAUCGUGACCAUGUUUCUUCACCUAUUUUCCCUCGCAUCCUGUUUCUGUUUGACCCUUGCUUACAUGCAAGAAGUUGGCUCAUUUGGUUAGGUUACACAUUCUACACAGAACAACAACACAUUCUACACAGAACUUGACUCCGGAGGUAUUGCAAUUCGAUUCCAAAUUAAGGAACCUGACCUUACAGCGUACUCGCACUUGUUGAGGGAUGUCAAAUCAUUGUGUUACUCAGGAUCUUGGGUUGGAUUCAACGAGACAAAUUUCACGAAUUUGUUAUCCUUCGACGUCUUUUCUCCCACGGAGACGAGAGUUUGCAGAAACUGGACACUUCCUUUAACCAUGUCCUUGCGGUAUAACGGACCCUUGGACUUGGCAACACCGUCCGUCUCCAUUUACAACGGAACUACAUCCGCCAACUUGGGUGGAAUCGAACGCACUUUUACGGGCUUAUCCGCCACCAACUUUGGGUUUGUUCCAAAGGCCAUUUUUAUUACGGGAAGGUCAAGUUGGACUGGCUUUGCUAAUGAAGAUUUUUCUGGAAUUUCGACCUGUUUCUCAACGUCGGAGCUGGCUGGAUGGGGAGAUUUGGCGGGAAAAGAAAUAAGGUCUUUUGUGCAAGGAUGUAAUUCUUUGUUCGAGAGUGAGAAUUUUGAUAAGUUUUACCAGCGUUAUUAGUUAUGAACGAUAAUAACUCAGGACUGUGAUGACUACGUGUAACGAGGUAUCUCCCAAAUAUUGAUAAUUGGCCCGAAUAGGUUUAUUUAGAAAGUUAAAAUAAUUCAGAACUUUAUUUAAAAUGUUUAAGAUUUAAUAACUAGAUGUUCUUAAGCGAAUAAAUUUUCUGAAACAAAAA